AGCGGAGGAAAAGAAACCAACAGGGAUUGCCCUAGUAACGGCGAGUGAAGCGGCAACAGCUCAAAUUUGAAAUCUGGCCCUCGUGGUCCGAGUUGUAAUUUGUAGAGGAUGCUUUUGGUGAGGUGCCUUCCGAGUUCCCUGGAACGGGACGCCAUAGAGGGUGAGAGCCCCGUCUGGUUGGACACCGAGCCUCUGUAAAGCUCCUUCGACGAGUCGAGUAGUUUGGGAAUGCUGCUCUAAAUGGGAGGUAUAUGUCUUCUAAAGCUAAAUACCGGCCAGAGACCGAUAGCGCACAAGUAGAGUGAUCGAAAGAUGAAAAGCACUUUGAAAAGAGGGUUAAAUAGUACGUGAAAUUGUUGAAAGGGAAGCGCUUGUGACCAGACUUGAGCCCGGUUAAUCAUCCAGCCUUCUGGCUGGUGCACUUGGCCGGCUCAGGCCAGCAUCAGUUCGGCGCGGGGGAUAAAGGCUUCGGGAAUGUGGCUCCUCCGGGAGUGUUAUAGCCCGUUGUGUAAUACCCUGUGCUGGACUGAGGUUCGCGCAUCUGCAAGGAUGCUGGCGUAAUGGUCAUCAGCGACCCGUCUUGAAACACGGACCAAGGAGUCGUCUUCGUAUGCGAGUGUUCGGGUGUCAAACCCCUACGCGUAAUGAAAGUGAACGCAGGUGAGAGCUUCGGCGCAUCAUCGACCGAUCCUGAUGUUCUCGGAUGGAUUUGAGUAAGAGCAUACGGGGCCGGACCCGAAAGAAGGUGAACUAUGCCUGUAUAGGGUGAAGCCAGAGGAAACUCUGGUGGAGGCUCGCAGCGGUUCUGACGUGCAAAUCGAUCGUCAAAUAUGGGCAUGGGGGCGAAAGACUAAUCGAACCUUCUAGUAGCUGGU
rnacentral:rRNA from 1 species